ACUUCAUAGGCCAGGUUGGCGACGCGUAUUCUUGGGGAAUUAACACACAUUUGCGCUGUUAUUGCUUGAGAAUACACGUAGUUUGCCUGGUCGUUCACUCC
rnacentral:pre_miRNA from 11 species